rnacentral:misc_RNA from 1 species
CCUAAGAGAUACGUGUUAUGUGAAGUGCUCACACAGAUUGUCUGAUGAAGAACGAGCAGAGAUACCGGUAUAGGCUUGUAGCUCAGGUGGUUAGAGCGCACCCCUGAUAAGGGUGAGGUCGGUGGUUCAAGUCCACUCAGGCCUACCACUUUUCCUUUAUGCUGUGUUGUGAAGCAACUCGUUUACAUUAAGUAAACUUCGUUACUCCACGCCUUGCCUAAAGAAAAAGCUUCUUAUUAUAAGAAGAAAAAGGAGUGGUUAUACGGGUAUUAAAACAUUAUGGGGCUAUAGCACAGCUGGGAGAGCGCCUGCCUUGCACGCAGGAGGUCAGCGGUUCGAUCCCGCUCAGCUCCACCAUAAUCUCUUGAAUAUAAAACAAUGAUUCAGAGUAUAUUAGGAAUAGUAUACUGCGAAUUAUUAUGCUCUUUAACAAUCUGGAACAAGCUGAAAAAUUGAAAACAAAUCAAUAUAUCAACGAGGUAUAUUGAUGAGUCUCUCAAAAUCUCAAACCUUAAAGUUUGUCACGCAAAGUUUAUCUUUGAAAAAGACACUUUCGGGUUGUGA